UUUUGUUUCGUUAAUACAUGUUCUGUUUUAUUUAAUUAUUUAGAUUUCGUUUUUGUUAAAAAAAAAAAAAAAAAAAAAAACAGAGAGCAUAAAAUUGCAGUAAUAGGGCAGAGAGGUGUAGUUUGAGCAAAGAUUUAAUCUGAGUGCAUUUAUUGAAAAUAACCUGAUACACAGAUAACAUUUUGUCUUACACUGCUGAUAAUAAAAAUAAAAUGCAUAAAAACUAAAUAAAGAUGUUCAGGGUUCGAUCAUUUCUGAUCGUUAAGUAUUACAGACCAUAAUAAAAAAACAUAAAAAAAAAACAUAAAAGCAUAAAAAAAAAAAUUAAGUGUUCAGAUUACAUGCCUUGUUCAAAUUCUGGCCACACUCGGCCAGCAAAAACAUAAAAAAAAAAAAACAUAAAACAUUAAAAAUUCAACGGAAGAAUUCUCGAGCUGGUUGUGGCGGUCUAAGGGAGAGCUCCGUCGAGGGAGCUCUGGUUCAGAAUGUGAGAAGCAUGGGUGGAGGGAUUUGUCGUACGUCCCUAUCGUCGUCGAUGAUGAUCGGAACGGGAAACAGAUUCAGCAGCCUCGGUGCCCUCAUAAUCACCCAGUCAUAAUCUUUCGGCCAAAAAAAAAAAAAAAAAAUUGUGUGUUAAUAAUAGAAGAGGAAAGGAAAAAAAUCAAUAAAAGUGAGUUUUGAUCAGAGUCUUACCGUACAUAUAUAGUGGCAGUUGCGAAAACUGAGUGCCAGUAGGGUCUAUCUCCGCUUGCCAGCGCCUGACCCGAUUGCCGUGAUUGUUGAACCAGCAGUGCACGUUGUAUUCGCUGGCAUCUCCGAAGAUCCUUUAAAAAAAAAAAAAAAAAAACAAAACAAAACAUAACUCAUAAAAAAGCAUAAUUUAAAAAAAAAAAAACAUUUCUUAGUUCUGUGUUUUCUUUAUUUGUUCUUGUUUUCUUUUAGAUUUAUUUUGUCCUGUCUGUCUUUGAUGUUUUUGGUCUGGUCUCAGAUCUGUUUCACGGUCCUUGCAAAAGGGUCCUAAACGGAUCUACGUCCUGUUGUCCUGUUGUCCUUGUCCGUGUUGUUCUUGUUUUAAUUUAUGUUUUUGUGUUUUUAGUUUUUAGUGGGGUACGUGGCGUUGUUCUACCCGAUUGUCUCUGCCAUACCUUCAAACGAAGGGAGAUUAACGUCUGGUUUCCAGCCGAUAUACCCCUUAUGUUUUAAGACAGUUGUGUUUUUAGUUUUUUAGUUAAAAAAGAAAUUGAAAAGGAGAAGAAAGAAGAUGGAGCGGAAAGAAAAAUAAAGAGCAGUGCAAAGAAGAAAAAUACAGGAAAGCAGGAAAGGAAAUAAAGAAAAAAAAAACGGGAAAGCAGGAAAGGAAAUACAGAAAGAAGAUGGAAAGCAGUAAAGGGAGAGUAGGCAAGAGUAAAGCAGAGGAAAAUAGAAGAAAAAAAAGAGAAGGCAGAAAGAAGGAUAAGUAAAGCAAGCAGAAAGAAAGGGAGAUCCGAGAGUGCAGAGGACUUACCUGGAGAAGUAGGGUUGCAGAAGCUCCUCGCAGAUCUCAGCUCUUCAGAAGGCACCGGGGCAGAGGCUCCGCGCAGACUCCAGACGCUCAGAAGAGAGAGAAGAGAGGAGUAGAGAGAGAGAAGAGAGGAGUAGAGAGAGAGCAGGGCAGUCAGAAAUGUCGCUCAGGCGCUGAAGUUGGCCCAUUUAUAGCCAAAUUGUUUUCACUGUAGCAAUAGUUUCGGUCAUAGCCACCGAAACUGUUGCCACAGUACCGGUCUUCUCCUUUUUCAAAAAAAAAAAAAAAAAAAAAAAUAUUAGCAUCUACUGAUGGGUGCUAGGUGAUGAUAACAUCUACUGAUGGAUGUUAUUGAAAAUUUCUUCCCAUUUCCCUACCUUUUAUUGCACUUGUCCAUAAUAUGUUUCGUGUUUUGAUUGAUGAUGUAUGCUUAGAACACAUUGAGGACAAUGUGUAGUUUAAGUGUGGUCUAUAGGGAGAGAUUAUGAUUGUUCUUUGUGUUAUGUGUUAAAUUUUUUUUGUUUUUGAGUGUUAAAUUUUUUCUGUUUUAAAUUGUUUUUAGUGUGUUUUGUGUGCAAUUUUACAUUUUUUCUCUUCAAUCAUGGACUUUGUUUAAGUUGUAGACUCGUCUUUCAUUUCACUUGAUUAAUACUCAUGGCAUGAAAUCUUUGCUUUUCUCUGCUUGGAAAAUGAUUAUGCUGUUUCAGAGGUUGAUUUGAUUGUGACAAUUACCCUGUGAGAAUUUGAGCCACUUUAUUUCUUUCUUGCGUGUGACAUGUCUCUUGAUUGCUUGCACAUGUGCCUUGGCUUGACUCUUGUUGAUGAUUCUUGAUGGAUAUGCAUGUUUAGAAAUGAUAAAGGCAUUUCAUUUCUUGAGCCUCGUUAGCCAAAUAAGCCUACCCUGUUAUUAUUAUUUGAUAACCCCUUUGAGCCUAUACUGUAUCCAUUUCUUUGUUUUAAAGCUCAUACAAUAGCCCUAAGUGAAAAACCAUGAUUACCUUAACCUUAGGAAAUUUUGGAGCUUUGGAAGUGUUUUGGGAAUAAGUGUGGUCUCUGUGGGGAUUCUUAUAAAUUGGCUAGUUGGUUCCUCAUCUUGUUUUAUUUUUGGAAAUAUGAUCUUGUUGAGUGAUGAAAAAAAAAAUUAAAAAAAGAAAAAAAAUUGAAAAAAAAAAUUGAAAAAUGAAAAAAAAAAAAACAAAACAAUUUUGUGAAUAAUGGAGUCAAGAAGAGGAUUGAAUUAGAGGUUUGGUUGUGAUUUGACUGUGUUUACACUUGUUCCCCAUUGCUCCUCUAUUUCUUGUGGUUUGUAGCUACUUAUCCAUAUAUAUCCUCCCUUGUCCUUGGCCCCAUUACAGCCAUAAAAGACCUUUUGAUUUAAACAUGCAUAUACUUCUGAGUGUUGAUUUUAGAGGCUUGCCAAGUCUGUUUGUGUUUGCUUUCUUGAGUGCAUCGAGCUGAUAUUAUUAUUUACCCUAGACACUUGAGAGAAACACUGAUAGUGCAUCUGUGAGGUUUUGGUACUUUUAAUUCACCUCUUGAACUGAUUAAUUGUUUUACCAUGUUUUGAAUUGCUUGGAUGAUUUCUGCGAGUAUCUGUUUUCUAUGAUUUUGUGUCAGAUAUUGUCUACAUCUUUUCGUUGUCCAGAUUUCUUGAGAACAGUGUAAAUUUUCUUUCUUUCUUGUGAGUUUUUAUUUUCUGUGUGCUGAGUUUUUGGUCGUACACCUAAUGUCCAUUGAAUUAUUCCCUGAUUUGCGUCUUAAUUUUGCCCAAGAGUGCAAAAGACUAAGUGUGGUAUAUUUUGAUGAAUCAUUAUUUUAUUCACUUCAUUUAGUUUAUUGUGCUAGAAUUAAUCAGGGAAUUGUGCUUAAUUGUCCAGUAUUUUUCCAUUUUACUGAAUUGAGCCUAAUCCGAUCAGAAAUUCUUAUUUUAAUUAAUUUGAAUUAUCUGAAACGAAUGAUUUACAUUAUUGAGUGCAUGAAAAAUUUUGGAAAAUAUUUUUGGACAUUUAGACUUUCUGUACAAAUUCCCAAUUCCUCUCGAGUAAUCGUUUACAGGGGCAGAAGUGCCUAAAAGUAAGUUUUUUUUGCCAAUGGUGACCUGUGUUCACCUGACUGAGUACCUGUGUUGGACUUUCUGUACAAAUUUGCAAUUCCUCUCGGGUAAUCAUUUACAGGAGUGCUGUAAACGAUUACCAGUGCUGCGUGAAUGUUGUGUCAACUUGUGUGUCUUCGUUUGAGUUCAAUUCUUAUCCGUUUUGCAUGCAAUAUUUUUUCAUAGUUUCGUAUGGAUGUCUAUUUUUACGUAUAGUUUUUACUUUGAUAGAAUUAUUUCUGUAAUGUUCCCAGUAAUUGUUUUACUCUUCUAUGUCAGUCCAGUGCUGCAUGAAUUUUGUGUCAAUUUGUGUGUCUUCGUUCGAGUUCAGUUCUUAUUUGUUUUCUAUGCAAUUUUUUUUCAUAUUUUUGUAUGGAUGUCUAUUUUCAUGUAUAGUUUUUACCUUGUUCAAAUUCAUUAUGUGUUGUUCCCAGUAAAUGUUUUAUUCCACUGUGUCAGUCCAGCAAAGGGAAACACACAUGCAGCACAUGCACAUGGAAAGGCUUUGGUUUUAAUUUUUUUUAUGGAGAAUAGGAUAAAGAAGUGCACAUUUACGUGAAGUCCAGCAACAAAUGCAAGUAGCACAUGAUGGAAGGAAUCUACAAAAGCUUGUGGUAUGAGUGCACACACAUGGAGUUUUGCUUCCAUUUGAUGGAUGAUGACAUGGAAUCACAUUUCUGAAAAUGGUCCACCAAACACAUGCUUGCAAUGUACCAAGAAUCACUUAAGUUUCACAAAUGUCACGGCUGGAAACAUCAAGUGGAGGGCCCCUUUGUUUUAUUUUGAAUUUGAAGGAGAGAGGAAGACACCAUUCUAGUUCCAAAAUUUUGAGAGGAGGCCAUGAGCAUCAUGGAAGGGAGUUGAAGAAUGAAGGAAACCAAUCACUACUUGAAUGGAGGAUGAAGUUGGUUGAAGUUCUUGUCUUCUCAUUUGGUUUUGUAAAUCUUUCAUUUAAGUUUUUGUUCAUCUUUUCCAUAAACUGUAAUUUGGAUUUUGUGUUUAUGGAAAUUGUUUUAAGAGCUUUGUAAUUUAAUCUUGAAUUGUUUUCUUUCCUUUUAAUUUUUGCUGCAAGUGUCAUGGCUUGGAAGAAUAACAUUCCUUCUUUCAUUUAGUUUUCUUUCAUACACUUUUGAUUGAAUCCUUUGUUGUUAUGCUUGAAUGAUUCACGGAUGUUUUAAGUGGGAGAAUGAAUUAUUGUUUCAUGUUUUUAUGUUGUUAAAGAUUGAAAAGAAGCAAGGUGCAUGGUAACUUAUGGAGAUAGUCAUGGCUCCUUCUAUUUGAGUUUCUCUUUGAUUUUGUUUUAACUAAGAAGAUGGAUGCUUACGGUUUUGGAUGUCCAUUUGCAAUUACCAUUUCAAUGAAACCCAGCAAAUUUGUCACGGCACAUGAGAUGGAUGCUUACGGUUUUGGAUGUCCAUUUGCAAUUACCAUUUCAAUGAAACCCAGCAAAUUUGUCACGGCACAUGAGCUUCACCACAACAACCACCAAAGGUGCGUUCUUCUUUCUCCCUCACCGACGAUAGAGCUUUAUUCCGACGGUGAACCCAUUUUCAAGGGCAUCACCAUGAGCACUACUUCCUUCUCCCUUUGAAUCUCCUCCAAAGUCAAUCACGCUCUCUUCCUCAACCGUAACCCUCCAUCUCUCAAUCUCCCGGCUGGCUGUGCACUUGCUUCUCUCUAAACUAAUAAAAUGAACUUCCUCCCCUCUAGGUUGCGGCUGGAGCUUGUCUUCACGUGCUGGACCGUGGAAGCUUGAAGACUGUACGUGGGUUGCUAUUAAUUGUUCAUGGUCGUGGUUGUGUGUGUGUUGUGCUCUGGAUUUGAGGGCUUCCUAUUGCUAAACGUCACCUCCAGCUCCAAGCCGAGACACCCUCCAUUGCGUGUUGGACCGAGAGCUUUGGACGUGUGCUACUGCUUUCAUGAAUCCAAGCUGUUGGACCGCGUGAAUGAGCAGGCUGUGCUUCAAGAUCCAUUUCUUCUACGCGCACCUUUUCUCCCAUUCUCGGUGCUGCUGCUUCUUGGACGCGUGGUGGACUUCCUCAAAAGCUUUGGACCACAGACUAAUCAAAUUUCCAGACGUAACCCCCUCUUACGUGUGUUGUUGUUUAUGCUGGAGCACACUACGUGUUGUCUUCACGUGGGCCUCUUGCCUCCUCUCCAACGUGAAAUGCUGGAUGGCUGCUCCUCUACGUGUUGUUGGACCAGCUGUGUGUCACACCCUUUAUUCAAGCUGCUGGACCGCGUUUCCCCAUGGGUCGUGUGCUAUUUGCUUCCAGCACUCUACAUAGUGUGCACCUCCCAAAGAAGCUCCCGGACAUGUGAUUCAAUCUGGGCUGCUUUUGGAUGUAAUAAUUGAAGCCUGUGCUUGCUGGACGCACCCCCUUUUUCAAUUGAAGCACCCUUUUCUCAAAGGGCCAAAGAGUAAAAUCACCAUAGUGUCUUCUUUCUUGUGCACACUUCUUUUAUGAAGAGUCUUGAAUUAAGUGACAACCUUCCAAAUGUACCAAAUUGUAUUUCCAAAAUUUUCCUGUAAUUAAUAAAUCAAAUAA